CGAUUAAAGGAAUCAGCUAGGAAUUAGACGAUCACCAUUGGUAUAGGUGAGUUGUUUAAUAGUUGUUGCUUUGUGAUAAAUGCAUGUUUUGGAUUUAUUGAUAAUCAGGAAUAGCUGGAAAGGAAAGAAACGUGUUGCUACGUGAACCCGGAAAGGCCGGGACGAAUUUUUAAAAAAAAAUCUAGAGACGAUCGUUCUGAGUGUGCCACCUACACAUUCAAACGUGUACACAAGCACAAUAUUCCCUAUCUAUGUAAUGUGUUUUCAUAAUUUUGUGAUAUAGAGCAAAAAAAAGUAGCAGUUUUUUGUGUCUUGUUGUUAAGCAUUACCAGGGGAGAUAAUGUUUUUUUCACGGUGUGUUUGAUAGGUUUGUUACAUUGUAACAUUAUAUAAUACACACUCAGAAAGUGGAUUAAAAAUAGCCUCCUACACUAAAUUAACUGAAUUUCAAUUAUUCUAUUUACCGUAAUGCUAUUAUAUAAACUUCGGAGGUUCAUAUCACUUAUAUUCAACGUUUUUAUAUCGGAUUUUUUUUACUAUUGAUGUUGAACGGUUCAUAGUAAAAAAAAAAAUCCGAUAAAACCGUUGAAUGUAAAUGAUAUGAACCUCAGAAGUGCUAUAUAUUGUCCUUUAAUAUAAGACCGGAGGUUCAUAUCAUUUACAUUCAUCAUCGAAUUUUUGUUAUUAACUAUCAAUGGUCAACGGUUCAACGGUUCAACAUUGGUAGUUAAAAAAAUCCGAUAAAAAUUAACGGUUCAACAUUGAUAGUAAAAAACAAUCCGAUAAACAUGUUGAAUCUUAAAGAUAUGAAACUCUGAAGCCUUACAUUAUAGGACUAUCGUUUAUUAGUUCUUUAUCCUAACUAAAUGUUUUUUGUUGUGGUGUAUAUUAAAAAAAAAGGGGAUGGGCUUUUAAAAACACCAAAAUACCUUAACAAUCCUACAAUAUUUGUUUACAGAAUGAGAAUUGAAUUCCGAUCCGUUUGUACGGGGAACAUGUGGUUGCAACCCCCUCUUUAAUUGCCUGUUCGAUUUUGUUUUUUGCAGUGUCGAAAAGGGAGAUAGACAGCAGUUUUAUCAAGAAGUUAUGUACGUUCUGCUAUACAUUUGACAGUCAGUAACUAUUCUGAAGUACACAUGUCGACCAGAGGCAUGGAACAGAGAGGAGAGGUUUUAAAGUACCAGAUGCUUAUCUGAGAUUCCAAUUUGAACUAAAGAAAGCAAUAUAUAAAGAUAUGUAGGAGA
rnacentral:lncRNA from 1 species